rnacentral:tRNA from 1 species
UGGAGAGUAAACUAAUAAAGUUAUUGGGCUCAUGUCCCGAGUAUAGGGUUAAACCCUCCUCCUU